GGAGGGAUGGCAGAGCGGUUGAUCGCGGUGGUCUUGAAAACCAUUUGGGGUUUACGCCCCACGGGGGUUCAAAUCCCUCUCCCUCCGCCA
rnacentral:tRNA from 3 species